GAGUGACCUUGGAGUAAUAGGAUUGCUAGAUGUACCCUCCAAGGUGUUGGCCUCUUUAGAGAGAAAAUGGAGAGACAAUUCUCACCAAUUUUCCCCCAAAAUAAACCCUUAAUUUUUCCUUAAUGAAUUUUGGCUAUAAAGUCAUUUAUAUAGUCACUUCUUUUUGUAACCUAAACAACCAAAACCCUAAUUCAUCUAAUAUGGCCGGCCAUUUAGGGAUGUUUGGGCUUU
rnacentral:lncRNA from 1 species